rnacentral:tRNA from 3 species
GGACCUGUAGCUCAGGUGGAUAGAGCAGUGCCCUCCUAAGGCACGUGCCGGGGGUUCGAAUCCUCUCAGGUCCACCA